rfam:Felis catus isolate Cinnamon breed Abyssinian chromosome D1, whole genome shotgun sequence.
GCCUGGGUGGCUCAGUUGGUUAAGCAUCUGACUUCAGCUCAGGUCAUGAUCUCACAGUUCGUGAGUUUGAAUCCCGCAUCGGGCU